GACGAACGCUGGCGGCGUGCUUAACACAUGCAAGUCGAACGGAAAGGCCUCUUUCGGGGGGUACUCGAGUGGCGAACGGGUGAGUAACACGUGAGUAACCUGCCCUUGACUUUGGGAUAACUUCAGUAAACUGGGGCUAAUACCGGAUAGGAGCUCCUGCUGCAUGGUGGGGGUUGGAAAGUUUCGGCGGUUGGGGAUGGACUCGCGGCUUAUCAGCUUGUUGGUGGGGUAGUGGCUUACCAAGGCUUUGACGGGUAGCCGGCCUGAGAGGGUGACCGGCCACAUUGGGACUGAGAGACGGCCCAGACUCCUACGGGAGGCAGCAGUGGGGAAUAUUGCACAAUGGGUGGAAGCCUGAUGCAGCAACGCCGUGUGCGGGAUGACGGCCUUCGGGUUGUAAACCGCUUUCGCUCAUGACGAAGCUUUGUGUGACGGUAGUGGGUAAAGAAGCACCGGCUAACUACGUG
rnacentral:rRNA from 1 species